rnacentral:rRNA from 1 species
CCUACGGGAGGCAGCAGUGGGGAAUCUUGCGCAAUGGGCGAAAGCCUGACGCAGCAACGCCGCGUGCGGGAAGAAGGCCCUAGGGUUGUAAACCGCUUUCAGUAGGAACGAAAAUGACGGUACCUGCAGAAGAAGGUGCGGCCAACUACGUGCCAGCAGCCGCGGUGACACGUAGGCACCAAGCGUUGUCCGGAUUUAUUGGGCGUAAAGAGCUCGUAGGCGGUUCAGUAAGUCGGGUGUGAAAACUCUGGGCUUAACCCAGAGCCGCCACUCGAUACUGCUGUGACUUGAGUUCGGUAGGGGAGCAGGGAAUUCCUAGUGUAGCGGUGAAAUGCGCAGAUAUUAGGAGGAACACCGGUGGCGAAGGCGCUGCUCUGGGCCGAUACUGACGCUGAGGAGCGAAAGCGUGGGUAGCAAACAGGAUUAGAUACCCUGGUAGUCCACGCCGUAAACGUUGGGCACUAGGUGUGGGUUCCAACCAACGGAAUCCGCGCCGUCGCUAACGCAUUAAGUGCCCGCCUGGGGAGUACGGCGGCAACGCAAACUCAAAUGAAUUGACGG